CAGUGAGCCCCUUUUGCUGGAUAACCUUACCUGGUAAUUUGACAUACUAGGUGGUUAGUAACUACUGACUGUCUCCAGGUUACAACACAGUUAUUACCCACUUGGGUGAAAAGAGAAGACAGGAAAUACAUUUUGGAGUUGGCUGGCAACCUGUUUACAAAGCAAUUUACAACAGUUCCUUAUUCUUAAGGGGCUAUUCUAAUACAAGACCUCAGAGAAACAGUGCAGUGUGACAAAGGAGGAAUUUAUCAAAGGAGACAGAAAAAGCAUCAAGGCAAGCUGUGAAAUGGUGCGGUAGGAACCAAAUAGAGAGCCAAAGGAUCUUUCUGUCACUGCAGGCCCUUAGGGUCAUCAGCAGAGACAGCUCCAAGCAAUUCUUUCUGGCUGAUUGUCCUUCCAGUGCCUGACAUGAAAAUCACAGCCUUGGCGAGAAAACAGCCGCUGCAGGGAGUGGUGCCCACAGUACUCUAGGCAUCCCUCACCUGCGUCCACUUCCCACCAUCCCUCGGAGGGGCCAGCACACAAGACAGUGACCGGGGCAUGUGUCAAGAGCAUGCGAGAGAAUAUCUACCCUGAGGCAGGAAAACACGGCUUCCGCUCGGCUGUCUCCCAGCUUGGUUUCUUAGAAAUCUAUGUCAUUAUCUUUCUGCUGGGAUUGUCAGACCUGAUUUUGAGAGCAUUUAAAACCUGACCCCUGAUGGAGCCUCUAAAA
ensembl:lncRNA TEX26-AS1 TEX26 antisense RNA 1